rnacentral:rRNA from 1 species
ACGAGCGGCGGACGGGUGAGUAAUGCUUAGGAAUCUGCCCAGUAGUGGGGGAUAGCCCGGGGAAACCCGGAUUAAUACCGCAUACGUCCUACGGGAGAAAGCAGGGGAUCUUCGGACCUUGCGCUAUUGGAUGAGCCUAAGUCGGAUUAGCUAGUUGGUGGGGUAAAGGCCUACCAAGGCGACGAUCCGUAGCUGGUCUGAGAGGAUGAUCAGCCACAUCGGGACUGAGACACGGCCCGAACUCCUACGGGAGGCAGCAGUGGGGAAUAUUGGACAAUGGGGGCAACCCUGAUCCAGCCAUGCCGCGUGUGUGAAGAAGGCUUUCGGGUUGUAAAGCACUUUCAGUAGGGAGGAAAACCUUAUGGCUAAUACCCAUGAGGCUUGACGUUACCUACAGAAGAAGCACCGGCUAACUCCGUGCCAGCAGCCGCGGUAAUACGGAGGGUGCAAGCGUUGAUCGGAAUUACUGGGCGUAAAGCGCGCGUAGGUGGUUUGGUAA